rnacentral:rRNA from 1 species
AGAGUUUGAUCCUGGCUCAGGACGAACGCUGGCGGCGUGGAUUAGGCAUGCAAGUCGAACGCGAAAGCAGAGCUUCGGUUCUGUGAUUAGAGUGGCGAACGGGUGAGUAACGCGUAGGUAAUCUACCUUUAAGUGGGGGACAGCCCCGGGAAACCGGGAUUAAUACCGCACGUGAUCGUAAGAUUAAAGUUGGCCUCUGUUUCAAGCUGACGCUUAGAGAUGAGCCUGCGUCCUAUUAGUUAGUUGGUGGGGUAAUGGCCUACCAAGGCGAUGAUAGGUAGGCGGCCUUAACGGGUGGUCGCCCACACUGGGAUUGAGAUACGGCCCAGACUCCUACGGGAGGCAGCAGUCGAGAAUAGUCUACAAUGGGGGAAACCCUGAUAGUGCGACGCCGCGUGCACGAUGAAUCCCUUCGGGGUGUAAAGUGCUUUUCUAUGUGAGCAAUACUUUUUUGGUUAAGAGCUAGAGGAGUGAGAUAGUAGCAUAGGAAUAAGCCACGGCUAACUCCGUGCCAGCAGCCGCGGUAAUACGGGGGUGGCAAGCGUUGUCCGGAAUCACUAGGCAUAAAGGGCAAGUAGGCGGAAUGGUAAGUGAGGUGUUAAAUGCGUCGGCUCAACCGGCGUCCAGCAUUUCAUACUGUCAUUCUAGAGUAGGGUAGAGGAAGACGGAAUUCCUGGUGUAGCGGUGGAAUGCGCAGAUAUCAGGAAGAACACCAAUGGCGAAGGCAGUCUUCUGGGCCACUACUGACGCUAAAUUGCGAAGGUGUGGGUAUCGAACAGGAUUAGAUACCCUGGUAGUCCACACAGUAAACGAUAUACACUAGGCGUCGGGAGGGACAAGCCUUUCGGUGCCGUAGCUAACGCGUUAAGUGUAUCGCCUGGGGAGUACGAUCGCAAGGUUAAAACUCAAAGGAAUUGACGGGGCCCCGCACAAGCGGUGGAGCAUGUGGCUUAAUUCGAUGCAACGCGACGAACCUUACCUGGACUUGACAUCCCUGGAAUCUAGCAGAGAUGCUUGAGUGCCUUUCGGGGAACCGGGAGACAGGUGCUGCAUGGCUGUCGUCAGCUCGUGUCGUGAGAUGUUGGGUUAAGUCCCGCAACGAGCGCAACCCCUAUCUUUAGUUGCCAGCGGUUCGGCCGGGGACUCUAGAGAGACUGCCAGUGUAAUAAACUGGAGGAAGGUGGGGACGACGUCAAGUCAUCAUAGUCCUUAUGUCCAGGGCUGCACACGUGCUACAAUGGCAGGUACAGAGGGAAGCUAAGCCGCAAGGUGGAGCGAAGCCCAGAAAGCCUGUCUCAGUUCGGAUUGGGAUCUGCAACUCGACCCCAUGAAGUUGGAAUCGCUAGUAAUCGCGUAUCAGAACGACGCGGUGAAUACGUUCCCGGGGCUUGUACACACCGCCCGUCAAGUCAGCCGAGUUGAGUGCACCCGAAGGAGGUGAGCUAACCGCAAGGAAGCAGCUUUCGAAGGUGUGCUUGGCAAGGGGGACUAAGUCGUAACAAGGUA